rnacentral:rRNA from 1 species
UGGGGAAUAUUGCACAAUGGGCGGAAGCCUGAUGCAGCGACGCCGCGUGGGGGAUGAAGGCCUUCGGGUUGUAAACUCCUUUCGACAGGGACGAAGCUUUUGUGACGGUACCUGUAUAAGAAGCACCGGCUAACUACGUGCCAGCAGCCGCGGUAAUACGUAGGGUGCGAGCGUUGUCCGGAAUUACUGGGCGUAAAGAGCUCGUAGGUGGUUUGUCGCGUCGUCUGUGAAAUUCCGGGGCUUAACUCCGGGCGUGCAGGCGAUACGGGCUGACUUGGGUGCUGUAGGGGAGACUGGAAUUCCUGGUGUAGCGGUGAAAUGCGCAGAUAUCAGGAGGAACACAGAUGGCGAAGGCAGGUCUCUGGGCAGUAACUGACGCUGAGGAGCGAAAGCAUGGGUAGCGAACAGG